AUUGAACGCUGGCGGCAGGCCUAACACAUGCAAGUCGAACGGUAACAGGAAGCAGCUUGCUGCUUUGCUGACGAGUGGCGGACGGGUGAGUAAUGUCUGGGAAACUGCCUGAUGGAGGGGGAUAACUACUGGAAACGGUAGCUAAUACCGCAUAACGUCGCAAGACCAAAGAGGGGGACCUUCGGGCCUCUUGCCAUCGGAUGUGCCCAGAUGGGAUUAGCUAGUAGGUGGGGUAACGGCUCACCUAGGCGACGAUCCCUAGCUGGUCUGAGAGGAUGACCAGACACACUGGAACUGAGACACGGUCCAGACUCCUACGGGAGGCAGCAGUGGGGAAUAUUGCACAAUGGGCGCAAGCCUGAUGCAGCCAUGCCGCGUGUAUGAAGAAGGACUUCGGGUUGUAAAGUACUUUCAGCGGGGAGGAAGGGAGUAAAGUUAAUACCUUUGCUCAUUGACGUUACCCGCAGAAGAAGCACCGGCUAACUCCGUG
rnacentral:rRNA from 1 species